UACGGAGGAUCCAAGCGUUAUCCGGAAUUACUGGGCGUAAAGAGUUGCGUAGGUGGCAUAGUAAGCGGACAGUGAAAGCGUGUGGCUCAACCAUACAUCCAUUGUCUGAACUGCUAAGCUAGAGUAUGAGAGAGGUAGAUGGAAUUCCCUGUGUAGGAGUGAAAUCCGUAGAUAUAGGGAGGAACACCGAUGGCGUAGGCAGUCUACUGGCUCAUUACUGACACUAAGGCACGAAAGCGUGGGGAGCAAACGGG
rnacentral:rRNA from 1 species